GGAAGAGGCGGGGCCCGGAGCGCCAAACGCCCAGCGGAAGAAGCUGUGCUUUCUUUUCCGCGCGGCCAGCGAAGGAUGCGGGUGCGUGGAGCGCCGUCGGCCAGGCGGGCCGGGCGGCGGGGUGUGCGGGCCAGUCGCUGGGCUCUUCGAGGUGCAAUAGAGCCUAUGAGGUGAAGAUGAAUGAAGGUUGUCCUGAUGUUUUCCAGAAACUGCUCACAGGAUGGCUCUGAUAAAACCACUAGGAGCACAACUGCAUGUAAUGAGCAUAUAGGUAGCUGCAGAUGAAUAUUCAAGUGCAAAACUGUCGUGGUUAAAAUUCAUUGCCUCAAAGGCAUGCAAUUGGAAGGAAAAAAGAAUUGGUCAAGAAGACAUGAAACAGAUGAAGAUUAAUAUUUUAUUUAACAUUGAUCACCUCACAAUAAAUUAUGUAGAAAAAUACAUGUUUGAGUACUUGUAAUUGCUAGGUAUUAAUAGAAGAGCUAGAAGAGCACUCCUGAAUAAACAAUGGCACACUAAAUUCAUCUUGGUCAGCCUCCUGGAGAGCCCAGGCUCUGACACACUACAUCCAAUCUGUUUUGUGUAAUGGACAAAUUUAUCUUCUGGAGAAAUCAUUUUCACUGUUUCACAACUCUAAUAAAGUCCAACUGUUCUCUA